rnacentral:ribozyme from 1 species
UUUUUUUUUUUUUUUUUUUUUUUUUUUUUUUUUUUUUUUUUUUUUUUCCGCGCUCGCUGCAU